rnacentral:rRNA from 1 species
CGGACGGGUGAGUAAUGUCUGGGAAACUGCCCGAUGGAGGGGGAUAACUACUGGAAACGGUAGCUAAUACCGCAUAAUGUCUACGGACCAAAGCGGGGGACCUCCGGGCCUCGCGCCAUCAGAUGAACCCAUAUGGGAUUAGCUAGUAGGUAAGGUAACGGCUUACCUAGGCGACGAUCCCUAGCUGGUCUGAGAGGAUGAUCAGCCACACUGGGACUGAGACACGGCCCAG